rnacentral:rRNA from 1 species
AAGACCUUGCGCUUUUGGAGCGGCCGAUGCCUGAUUAGCUAGUUGGUGGGGUAAUGGCCUACCAAAGCUUCGAUCAGUAGCUGGUCUGAGAGGACGGCCAGCCACACUGGGACUGAGACACGGCCCAGACUCCUACGGGAGGCAGCAGUGGGGAAUUUUGGACAAUGGGGGCAACCCUGAUCCAGCCAUGCCGCGUGAGUGAAGAAGGCCUUCGGGUUGUAAAGCUCUUUCAGCCGGAACGAAACGGUUACGGUUAAUACCCGUGACUACUGACGGUACCGGAAGAAGAAGCACCGGCUAACUACGUGCCAGCAGCCGCGGUAAUACGUAGGGUGCGAGCGUUAAUCGGAAUUACUGGGCGUAAAGCGUGCGCAGGUGGUUUUGUAAGUCAGAUGUGAAAUCCCCGAGCUCAACUUGGGAACU